rnacentral:rRNA from 1 species
UGGGGAAUAUUGGACAAUGGGCGCAAGCCUGAUCCAGCCAUGCCGCGUGAGUGAUGAAGGCCCUAGGGUUGUAAAGCUCUUUCACCGGUGAAGAUAAUGACGGUAACCGGAGAAGAAGCCCCGGCUAACUUCGUGCCAGCAGCCGCGGUAAUACGAAGGGGGCUAGCGUUGUUCGGAUUUACUGGGCGUAAAGCGCACGUAGGCGGACUAUUAAGUCAGGGGUGAAAUCCCGAGGCUCAACCCCGGAACUGCCUUUGAUACUGGUAGUCUUGAGUUCGGGAGAGGUGAGUGGAAUUCCGGGUGUAGAGGUGAAAUUCGUAGAUAUUCGGAGGAACACCAGUGGCGAAGGCGGCUCACUGGCUCGAUACUGACGCUGAGGUGCGAAAGCGUGGGGAGCAAACAGG